rnacentral:rRNA from 1 species
AUAAUCUGCCCUUCAGUGGGGAAUAACACGCCGAAAGGCGUGCUAAUGCCGCAUGUCACAACGAGGCCCCUGGGUCACGUUGGAAAAGGGGACGCCCGCAAGGGGUUCUCGCUGGAGGAUGAGUCCGCGGCCCAUCAGCUUGUUGGCGGGGUAAUGGCCCACCAAGGCGAAGACGGGUAGCUGGUCUGAGAGGGCGAUCGGCCACACUGGGACUGAGACACGGCCCAG